rnacentral:misc_RNA from 1 species
GGAAAUAUUCUCAAAGUUUAAUACUGGUUCGCGUUCACACAGUUUUCAAACUUUCGAAAUCGUGCGGAUUCUAUAAUCGCGUGCGGCUCAGUUUUAUUGGCUAUGACAAUUAAUACACGAGCGGUUAUCUAAUCGGCGUGAAGUUUAUUCCCGCAAAUUCAAACUUUUGGCUUUCAAUCGUUGAAAAUUAUCAUAUUAUAAUACCGCCGAAUAUAUUUCAUCCACAGAACCGAUCCAAGAAUCAAUCGAAAGUUUUACGGACGACGGUAAAUUACUCAUCACGUAAUCAUGGCUCGAUUUUUACUAUUCGAAACAUUUCCCCGGCAAUACCAGUGACUAUGCGAAUCUCGGCAAAAUUUUGGUUCUUGAAGAGGAUUUCGGAGCGAAGCGCCGAAGAAAACGGAGCCGAAGAUCGGCCCAAAAAGACCCUGGACGUCGUAUAAAAUAACCUUUAAAUUCCUAUCCGCGGAGUGGUAAAAGUUCGCUUCUUUAAUACCUUUUCUUUCUUCACAUUUUACUUUUCGUUUUUUUUCUUUCUUUCCCCCGGUAUUUCGCUCCUUCAGCAGCACCGCGCGAGUCUCGCCUGUGGAUUUAAUCGGCGCUUCGCGCGCGACGAAUACGGUCGGGAAAAAUCGUUUUUUUUUUUUUUUUUUUUCUAAUCACCUCGCGAUUCUCUUCCCGCGGUGAUUCCCCCGGGUGAAAAUCGAUUAAACGGACCGCGAUGUCGUCGCCAAGGUUCUCCAGCUCCGAUCUCGGCCCGUCCAUCGUUCGCGGAAUACCGCUGGGUCAACAAUUAAGCCUCGGCCAGCCUUCGUCGACGGCUAUCACCCGGUUUUCAACCGUCACCUCGACGUACAACGAAACCGUUUCGCCGACGGUAUCGAGUACCGGUACUGCCGGCGGCGGUGACUUCCUCGAAGGAUUGAUAGUUCCUCUCUAUGCCACGAUAUUCGUCCUGGCUGUCAUCGGGAACUUGUUGGUCGUCAUUACUCUCGCAAAAAACAAGAGGAUGCGCACCGUGACCAACGUUUAUCUGCUCAAUUUGGCUCUAUCAGACCUGCUGCUCGGUGUCUUUUGUAUUCCGUUCACUCUCCUGGGACAAAUGCUCAAGAAUUUCGUAUUUGGUACGACGAUGUGCAGGCUGAUACCAUACUUCCAAGCUGUUUCAGUUUCGGUGAGCGUAUGGACUCUGGUCGCGAUAUCCCUGGAGAGAUAUUUCGCAAUUUGCAGACCGCUCAAGUCGCGCCGUUGGCAAACGCGGUGUCACGCCUGUAAGAUGAUCGCGGUUGUCUGGGCGGCAAGUCUCGUCUGGAACGCUCCUAUCCUGGUAGUUUCGAGCCUGAAGGAUAUCAGCGGCGGUCGACAAAAAUGCAGAGAAGACUGGCCGAGCAUCGCCGCGGAAAGAGCGUUCAAUAUAUUUCUGGACGUGAUACUCUUGAUCAUACCUCUGAUAAUGAUGACGCUCGCGUAUUCGCUGAUUGUAACGAAGUUGCGACGACGCGAAAUUCAGCACAGCUCAAGCUGCCAGAGACAAGUCCAGCGGACGAGCUCAUCGGCCACGGUGAACGGAACCUGCCGGCCCAAUUUCUGCAACGAGACCAACAGCGCCAAGGUGAUCGUCACAUCCCUCAGACAGCACAGAUCUCUCUCGUCCUCCGAGUACCUGCAAGGAGUCCGAAGGACGACGUCGCAAGGAGCCCUGGCCCAGGACGCGGCGUCGAGGAAGCCUCGACAAGUGACGUCACGGCGAAGAGCCGAGGCGGUGAAGCUCUGGCUAAUGAGAGGCAUGGUGCAGAUACCAAGCUCUGGAACUCCGAGGGUCGUCGCCUGCAGAAGCAGGAGCGGAACGGCGCUGUCCUCCUCGACCCACCAUCGCGACAAGGGGAUCCAGAUCGAGUCCGAGAACGCCGAGGAGUCGGAGAAUUCCGUCGGCGAGGAGCAUCACGACACCACCUACACCUUUAGCAGACACGCGAUACGCAGCAACUACAUGGACAAGAGCAUCGAGGCCAAGAAGAAGGUGAUCGUGAUGCUCUGCGUGGUGAUGCUGACGUUCUUCCUCUGCUGGACGCCGCUCUACGUGGUUCACACGUGGUACCUCUUCGCCCCGAACAUGGUCUACAAGAUCGUCGGACGGACUGGAAUCAGCCUGAUCCAACUACUGGCCUACUGGUCGAGCUGCUGCAACCCGUUCAUAUACUGCUACAUGAACCGUAACUUCAGACAGGCGGUGAAGAGCGUGUCCUACGAAUGUUGGAGCGCUUACUGCGGAUGCGGAAACGAAACUAUCGGGGGUUCUGGAAGCGCCGUGCGCAACGGACCGCAUCACGGGGCCAACAGCGAGGUGAGCGGUAACGACUCUACAAUUUACCUGGGGCGGGCAUCCAUCAUGGCGAGAACCGUAGUCCUCCUCGAAGCGGAGGAUCGUGUUUAGCAGCGGCUGCGGGUCGAACGGAUUCCAAGAAUCAACGGGAAGCGGGGGCGCCUCGAUAGUCCUCCUCGGCGGCAGCGGAAACCCGAGUUCAUCGCCCGGAACGGCAGCCAAUCAGAAAGUCGGAACCGCCGGAAGUCUUGGCUCGCCAUUGGUCUGCGCCGACGGCGAAGCGGACGGUUUUCUGGUCCGGAUUUCCUGGCGACCGCCGCCUGGGCCUGGUCCAGGAUCGACCCCGUCGACCAUCUCAGGCCAGGGUCAUAAUAACCUGAACAUGCAGUGUCAGUACCUACCGAACCAGCAGACCUCGAUCUCGGGCCAAAGAAGUCCGAGCUAUUAUUUUUCCGCUCUGCAUCUCUGCUCGUCGGGCGGUUCCUGUUCCGGGGAUGAUUCGAGGGUCCUUUACGAUUGAUUGUGAGGGAGGCGCGGAAACGAGGGAUGAAAACGCAUCGGGGGACUGGACACGUCGCACUUUGAUGCGCUGCCAGGACUGUGGAUGCGCAGAGUUCAGGUGACUCGGAGCGGAUUCCUGCAUGACGAAUUUUUCAUCGCCAAGUGUCAAACGGACUUGUCGAAUCGAUGAUCGUUUGAUAAUGCAACUCCGAUAUCAGACAAUUAUUAUAGAAUACAGAUUGAAAAAUCUUUCUCAUCUACGAAGGCAGCUGAUCAAUACACAAAAUUGAUGAUAAUAUUGUAUAAAAUUGCAAAUAAUUAUCUAUAGUUGACGAUCGAUGUAUUAUAUAAUUCAGAUAUCCAGUACUAUGUAUAUGGCUGUAUUGUUAUACAAUUAAUUAUGUACAUAUCGCAUAGGUUUUACCAAAUUGUACGCCAUUAUCAAUAAUAUUUCUAUACGCACAAUUGUUACACGUGCUUAUUAUCGACGUAUCUGCGUAUAUUUACGUAUAUACAUAUAUACAGCAUAUGUAUAUGAUAUUAAUAACGAUAACUUUUUACCGA